rnacentral:rRNA from 1 species
CUGGCGGCAUGCCUAACACAUGCAAGUCGAACGUGAAGCCGCCCUUCGGGGCGGUGGAAAGUGGCGCACGGGUGAGUAACGCGUGGGAACCUGCCCCUUGGUAUGGGAUAACCGUGGGAAACUGCGGCUAAUACUGUAUACGCCCUGAGGGGGAAAGAUUUAUCGCCGAGGGAGGGGCCCGCGUCGGAUUAGGUAGUUGGUGGGGUAACGGCCUACCAAGCCGACGAUCCGUAGCUGGUCUUAGAGGACGGUCAGCCACACUGGGACUGAGACACGGCCCAGACUCCUACGGGAGGCAGCAGUGGGGAAUAUUGGACAAUGGGGGAAACCCUGAUCCAGCAAUGCCGCGUGGGUGACGAAGGCCUUAGGGUUGUAAAGCCCUUUCGGCGGGGAAGAUGAUGACGGUACCCGCAGAAGAAGCCCCGGCUAACUCCGUGCCAGCAGCCGCGGUAAUACGGAGGGGGCUAGCGUUGUUCGGAAUUACUGGGCGUAAAGGGCGUGUAGGCGGUCCGUCAAGUCAGGCGUGAAAGCCCUGGGCUUAACCUAGGAGGUGCGCUUGAAACUGAUGGGCUUGAGACCGGGAGAGGAGAGUGGAAUUCCCAGUGUAGAGGUGAAAUUCGUAGAUAUUGGGAAGAACACCAGUGGCGAAGGCGGCUCUCUGGCCCGGUUCUGACGCUAAGGCGCGAAAGCGUGGGGAGCAAACAGG